AGAAUCAACGCUGGCGGCGUGCCUAACACAUGCAAGUCGAACGAGAAAGUGGAGCAAUCCAUGAGUAAAGUGGCGACCGGGUGAGUAACACGUGACUAACCUACCCUAGAGUGGGGGAUAACCUCGGGAAACCGGGGCUAAUACCGCAUAACAUCGCAAGGGGAAGAUCCUUGCGAUCAAAGGAGCAAUUCGCUCAAGGAGGGGGUCGCGGCUGAUUAGCUAGUUGGUGAGGUAACGGCCCACCAAGGCUUAGAUCAGUAGCCGGCCUGAGAGGGCGCACGGCCACACUGGAACUGAAACACGGUCCAGACUCCUACGGAGGCAGCAGUGGGGAAUUUUGCGCAAUGGGGGAAACCCUGACGCAGCAACGCCGCGUGGAGGAUGAAGUCCCUUGGGAUGUAAACUCCUUUCGAUCGGGACGAUUAUGACGGUACCGGAAGAAGAAGCACCGGCUAACUCUGCGCCAGCAGCCGC
rnacentral:rRNA from 1 species